UUUAGUCUAUAAAAGAACAAUGGCAUGUUAUCUCUAAUACUCUAAUACAAUCAAUUA
rnacentral:sRNA from 1 species